CCCUUAGAUGUUCUGGGCCGCACGCGCGCUACACUGAUGCAUUCAACGAGUCUAAAACCUGCUCUGAUAGGGGUGGGUAAUCUUUUGAAUGUGCAUCGUGAUUGGGAUAGAUGAUUGCAAUUUUUCAUCUUCAACGAGGAAUGCCUAGUAAACGCAAGUCAUCCGCUUGCAUUGAUUACGUCCCUGCCCUUUGUACACACCGCCCGUCGCUCCUACCGAUUGAAUGAUCCGAUGAAUAUCAUGGAUUGAGGAUGCAAGUAGGUUCGCCUAUCUUCAUCUUCGAGAAGUGAAGUAAAUCUUAUCAUUUAGAGGAAGGAGAAGUCGUAACA
rnacentral:rRNA from 1 species